GAGCAAAAACCAGAGAACAACAUGGGAGCGUUCCUAACCCCUAAGGCAACUGGAUGGGAGACCUGACCCAUCCAGUUCUCUGAGGGGGCUCUUGUGUGUUCUACAAGGUUGUUCA
ensembl:miRNA MIR5195 microRNA 5195